UACAGAGACUGCGAGCGUUAUUCGGAUUCACUGGGCGUAAAGGGUGCGCAGGCGGCCAAGUGUGUGAGGCGUGAAAGCCCGGGGCUUAACCCCGGAAUCGCACCUCAAACUACAUGGCUAGAGCAUUGGAGAGGGUAGCAGAAUUCAUGGUGUAGCAGUGAAAUGCGUAGAUAUCAUGAGGAAUACCAGAGGCGAAGGCGGCUACCUGGACAAUUGCUGACGCUCAGGCACGAAAGCGUGGGGAGCAAAAGGG
rnacentral:rRNA from 1 species